rnacentral:rRNA from 1 species
GACGAACGCUGGCGGCGUGCUUAACACAUGCAAGUCGAACGAAGAGCGACGGAAGCUUGCUUCUAUCAAUCUUAGUGGCGAACGGGUGAGUAACGCGUAAUCAACCUGCCCUUCAGAGGGGGACAACAGUUGGAAACGACUGCUAAUACCGCAUACGAUCUAAUCUCGGCAUCGAGGAUGGAUGAAAGGUGGCCUCUACUUGUAAGCUAUCACUGAAGGAGGGGAUUGCGUCUGAUUAGCUAGUUGGAGGGGUAACGGCCCACCAAGGCGAUGAUCAGUAGCCGGUCUGAGAGGAUGAACGGCCACAUUGGGACUGAGACACGGCCCAGACUCCUACGGGAGGCAGCAGUGGGGAAUCUUCCGCAAUGGACGAAAGUCUGACGGAGCAACGCCGCGUGAGUGAUGACGGCCUUCGGGUUGUAAAGCUCUGUUAAUCGGGACGAAAGGCCUUCUUGCGAAUAGUGAGAAGGAUUGACGGUACCGGAAUAGAAAGCCACGGCUAACUACGU